rnacentral:SRP_RNA from 1 species
GCCAGGUGUGGUGGUGCACGCCUGUAAUCCCAGCUACCGGGGAGGCUGAGGCAGGAGAAUUGCUUGAACCCAGGAGGUGGAGGUUGCAGUGGGUCAAAAUUGCACCACUGCACUCUAGCCUGGGCAACAGAGUGAGACUUUGUCUUUA